rnacentral:lncRNA from 1 species
AUGUGUUGGGAAACAGUAAUUUUCAAGGCACGUGCUGCCCCACGUGCACUCAAGGGGGUCCAAGCACUCACGUCCACACACGCACACACACACCGCACACACGCAUGCACACACGUAGACUCACAUACCCGGAGCGAGACGAGAAAAGUCAACUUCUCCUGCAGCCUGACUGCUUCCUGCCCGGGCCAUCAGCACAAACAAUGCGGUGACUCAUCACCUGUGACUCACGCCGCUGCGGGGCCUCAGAUCCUGCCUGCAAAGGGCGAAUGUCUCCUUAUUCGCCCUUUAUGUCCUCAGAGAUGGAGGGUCCCCCAGCCUGGCCUCCACCUCCAGCCCAGGCAUUGGGGUGCUCUGCCCUGGUCACAUACUGAAGGCAUGAGGAUAGAGAGGGCAAUGACCUCGGGUGACAACACAGCAAAUGUCUUAAAACAGAAUGUUAUACACCUUGAAGGCAGCCCUCCUUCACAUGGAUAGCAGCGGAAUGCCCGAACGUUCCACUCGGCAGCUCCUCUCCUUCCUCCAGCCGCCAGCCCAACUCUCAAACUCCUGCUGUUGCUUUUGUAUUACGCAGUUCAGUAGGCUCCCCUCCCCACUUUCAGCCUGUUCAGGCUGUUCCCUGGGCUUCACAUUUCACACCCAAAGAGGCUUCCUCGUAUUGGGCCAAACAGAGGUGCUCUCUGGGAGACUGCCCCAACUGUGGGCCAAUAAUUUCCCCUUCCGCAUCAUGGCCUCUUUUCAGCUGAUGUCAUGUCAUGACGGUCUCUGCGUGUGUUAUGCAGUCUUGUAGUAUUCCAAAGAGGCAGCAUGCCUCAUUUACCUGACCGUUCCCCUGCUGUUGGAUAUUUACGGCAUUUAUAUUUCAUUAAACCAAUUUUUAGACCCAAUUCUUUCUGUCUUCAUUUCCCAGAUCUCAGAGAUGGCAGAAGUGGUCUAUGUACAUGUGUAUGUGUUUUUGAUCACCUUUCCACGCAGAAAGCAUUGACUUCCCCUGAGUUAUUUUGAGCCGAUGGAUGUGUGUGGUGCUUGCCCAGGCCUAAGGUUCUCAGGACCAUCACUGAGAAGAACUUAUGAAGACCAGAAAAGCUCUCUGUAGACCUUGGUCCUCGGAAAGGGAACAGGUGCCGGGCCUGUUGAACGUGGAGCCCAUGUCAAAGGAACUGCAACAGGAAGAGCUGUGCCACCAUCGUUCUAAUAGCUGCUACUUGCUUUUCAAAACUUUCAAUCUAUUAUCCUACUACUUGUGUAGCAAGGCCAAUAAGAAGAGUUGCUUUUACGUUGAGCCUAACAAAUGCAGAGUUUCCCGAAGUCCGGGCCACGGAACACCAGUCACGUGGCAUCCUCUAGAAAAAGCAUGCUGAGUGCUCAGGAGAGUUUGGAGAACACUCUACCCACCUCGAAUGCAUUUAGGAAAGUCUCAGAAUCAGGCAAGAAAGAAACAUAUUCAUUUUUUAAAUCCCAAUAUUCCCCAAACUGGUUAGACCAUUCACAAUACCAAUGAACAUCUCACAGAACUUGAGAUUCAUGGAAAUGUCACCCAAGGAGCCCCAACGGCUCUUCUGAAUAAAAAGAAAAGGUAGCAUUAUCA